rnacentral:rRNA from 1 species
AUACGUAGGGGGCAAGCGUUGUCCGGAAUGAUUGGGCGUAAAGGGCGCGUAGGCGGCCCGGUAAGUCUGAAGUGAAAGUCCUGGUUUUAAGUUGGGAAUUGCUUUGGAUACUGUCGGGCUUGAGUGCAGGAGAGGUAAGUGGAAUUCCCAGUGUAGCGGUGAAAUGCGUAGAGAUUGGGAGGAACACCAGUGGCGAAGGCGACUUACUGGACUGUAACUGACGCUGAGGCGCGAAAGUGUGGGGAGCAAACAGGAUUAGAUACCCUGGUAGUCCACACUGUAAACGAUGAAUGCUAGGUGUAGGGGGUAUCGACCCCUUCUGUGCCGCAGUCAACACAAUAAGCAUUCCGCCUGGGGAGUACGGCCGCAAGGUUGAAACUCAAAGGAAUUGGCGGGG